AAAAAACCAGCACCUUUGGAAAGAAAAAGAAAGAGAAUCGGCUUGAAAGCAAAGAGAGAAAGGAAGAAAGAAAGAAAGGAGAAAAAAGAAAAAGACAACGAAGGUUCGGCCCAGUGGUUUCAAGUUAAGGAAGCAAAGGUCCUCCAAGAAUUGAAAGAAAUAGAAGCAUGCUUGUGGGCCAAUCUUGGAAUCCAUGGUGAUUUUGAGCAAGAUAAGCUAUGACGAUGGUGACCAUGGAUGUGAAGAAAUUAUUAAUUAGGUGCAUGGAACUCAAGCUAAAAUCGAAAGAUAGUGAUCAACCUAGCAUGCAAUCAUAGGCACUUAUGGUCCUCAUCGAAUAGGUAAAGGCAUCUCAUAGCAUUUCAUUCUAAGUCACUCCGCUGUUAGAGGUCAAGUCUUUCGUUGCAUAAUUUGAUUGUAAAUAGUAUUAACGUAAAUGUAUGGUUUUAUAUUAAAGACCUUGAUGAAUUUCUACAAUUAUGUUGAAUAAAAAUUGAGUUGAUUUAUCAUA